UGUUGAUUCAGUUUUACUGUUUUAGGCCCCUAAUUCGGAUGAGGAAUGCAAUCUACACUUCAUAGCACUUGUCAGUGUUAAAAGCAAGUUGUACGAAUUAGAUGGAAGGAAAAGCUUACCAGUUUGCCAUGGAUCUACGACUCCAGAGACAUUCCUGGAGGGUAAAUCUUUCAGCAAUGGACUGAAGAAAAUGCCACUGUCUCAAAGACUAUGCAUUAAAUUUUGAACAUGCAUGUAUGAAAGUACACAUUGCACCAUGAGAUGCAUGUUGAUACUGGAAAAGAUGCUGGAAAUGUUUACUACUGCUGCCUAUAUGUAGCUUAUAGUGCUUCAUGUUUCCAAAUGAGCUCUGGUGUUUGGAAACAUGAACAUGUGUCAUAUUACAUAUUAUCACUAAUCACUGCAAAUUUUUGUUGAAAUUUCAAAAUUUUAGUUUGGUAAUAUUAAUUGAAUUUGCGUUGCAUUUCAUAUUUCUUUUUAAAUGAAAUUUUCUUGUUUUCUUCUUAUAUAAUCUGAAAUUUAGGUUUAA